GCAUAUCAAUAAGCGGAGGAAAAGAAACCAACAGGGAUUGCCUCAGUAACGGCGAGUGAAGCGGCAACAGCUCAAAUUUGAAAUCUGGCCCUUUCAGGGUCCGAGUUGUAAUUUGUAGAAGAUGCUUCGGGUGUGGCUCCGGUCUAAGUUCCUUGGAACAGGACGUCAUAGAGGGUGAGAAUCCCGUCUGUGACCGGUCGCCUUCGCCCAUGUGAAGCUCUUUCGACGAGUCGAGUUGUUUGGGAAUGCAGCUCAAAAUGGGUGGUAAAUUUCAUCUAAAGCUAAAUAUUGGCCAGAGACCGAUAGCGCACAAGUAGAGUGAUCGAAAGAUGAAAAGCACUUUGGAAAGAGAGUUAAACAGUACGUGAAAUUGUUGAAAGGGAAGCGCUUGCAACCAGACUUGCGCGCGGUCGAUCAUCCGGUGUUCUCACCGGUGCACUCGGCCGCGCUCAGGCCAGCAUCGGUCUGGGUGGUUGGAUAAAGGCCUGGGGAAAUGUGGCUCCUCUCGGGGAGUGUUAUAGCCCCAGGUGCAAUGCAGCCUACCUGGACCGAGGACCGCGCUUCGGCUAGGAUGCUGGCGUAAUGGUUGUAAGCGACCCGUCUUGAAACACGGACCAAGGAGUCUAACAUCUAUGCGAGUGUUUGGGUGUCAAACCCAUACGCGUAAUGAAAGUGAACGGAGGUGAGAACCCUUAAGGGUGCAUCAUCGACCGAUCCUGAUGUCUUCGGAUGGAUUUGAGUAAGAGCAUAGCUGUUGGGACCCGAAAGAUAGUGAACUAUGCCUGAAUAGGGUGAAGCCAGAGGAAACUCUGGUGGAGGCUCGCAGCGGUUCUGACGUGCAAAUCGAUCGUCAAAUUUGGGUAUAGGGGCGAAAGACUAAUCGAACUAUCUAGUAGCUGGUUCCUGCCGA
rnacentral:rRNA from 1 species